AUCUAGUUGAUGAGUUUUAAAUAGGACGAAACCUGUGUCUUGGAU
rfam:Schistosoma curassoni strain Dakar, Senegal genome assembly, scaffold: SCTD_contig0006831